rnacentral:rRNA from 1 species
AUUGAACGCUGGCGGCAUGCCUUACACAUGCAAGUCGAACGGUAACAGGUUAAGCUGACGAGUGGCGAACGGGUGAGUAAUGUAUCGGAACGUGCCCAGUCGUGGGGGAUAACUGCUUGAAGGAGCAGCUAAUACCGCAUACGACCUGAGGGUGAAAGCGGGGGAUCGCAAGACCUCGCGCGAUUGGAGCGGCCGAUAUCAGAUUAGGUAGUUGGUGAGGUAAAGGCUCACCAAGCCGACGAUCUGUAGCUGGUCUGAGAGGACGACCAGCCACACUGGGACUGAGACACGGCCCAGACUCCUACGGGAGGCACCAGUGGGGAAUUUUGGACAAUGGGCGCAAGCCUGAUCCAGCCAUGCCGCGUGCGGGAAGAAGGCCUUCGGGUUGUAAACCGCUUU